UUUUGUUUGUGCUACUACAGAUCUCUUCUUCGCCGUCCUUUGAUUUGAAUUGAAGGUAAGCUUUCAACUAUUUAGAUUAGAUGAAUGAUUU
rnacentral:sRNA from 1 species